GACGAACGCUGGCGGCGUGCCUAAUACAUGCAAGUUGAGCGCUGAAGGUUGGUACUUGUACCAACUGGAUGAGCAGCGAACGGGUGAGUAACGCGUGGGGAAUCUGCCUUUGAGCGGGGGACAACAUUUGGAAACGAAUGCUAAUACCGCAUAAAAACUUUAAACACAAGUUUUAAGUUUGAAAGAUGCAAUUGCAUCACUCAAAGAUGAUCCCGCGUUGUAUUAGCUAGUUGGUGAGGUAAACUCUCACCAAGGCGAUGAUACAUAGCCGACCUGAGAGGGUGAUCGGCCACAUUGGGACUGAGACACGGCCCAAACUCCUACGGGAGGCAGCAGUAGGGAAUCUUCGGGCAAUGGACGAAAAGUCUGACCGAGCAAACGCCG
rnacentral:rRNA from 1 species